GGGAUUGUGGCUCAGUGGUAGAGCGCUUGCCUAGCAUGCAUGAGGCCCUGGGUUCAAUCCCUGGAGGCUCA
rnacentral:tRNA from 1 species